AUGCUUGUAGUUGAUGAGUAUCAUGUUGCCAUUGGAGUAUUAGUGGCUGGUAUUAUGAUUAUUUUCAUGGUGACAUCUGUUAUGAUAUUUUUGGAGUAUUACUUUGGAUAUCAUGCUGCCUUUGGAUUAUUAGUGGUUAGUAUGAUUAUUAUCAUGGUGAUAUCUGUUAUGAUAUUUUUGGAGUAUUACUUUGGAUAUCAUGCUACCUUCGGAUUAUUAGUGGUUAGUAUGAUUAUUUUCAUGAUGCUAGUUGAUGUCCUGUUGCUUGGAGUAUUAUUUUCGGAGAUGAGGUUUACAUGUGGAACUUAG
rnacentral:rRNA from 1 species